rnacentral:rRNA from 1 species
ACUGUGGGUGGCGAGUGGCGGACGGGUGAGUAAUGCAUCGGGACCUACCCAGACGUGGGGGAUAACGUAGGGAAACUUACGCUAAUACCGCAUACGUCCUACGGGAGAAAGCGGGGGAUCGCAAGACCUCGCGCGGUUGGACGGACCGAUGUUCGAUUAGCUAGUUGGUAGGGUAAUGGCCUACCAAGGCGACGAUCGAUAGCUGGUCUGAGAGGAUGAUCAGCCACACUGGAACUGAGACACGGUCCAGACUCCUACGGGAGGCAGCAGUGGGGAAUAUUGGACAAUGGGCGCAAGCCUGAUCCAGCAAUGCCGCGUGUGUGAAGAAGGCCUUCGGGUUGUAAAGUACUUUUAUCAGGAGCGAAAUACUAUCGGCUAAUAACCGGUGGGGCUGACGGUACCUGAGGAAUAAGCACCGGCUAACUUCGUGCCAGCAGCCGCGGUAAUACGAAGGGUGCAAGCGUUAAUCGGAAUUACUGGGCGUAAAGCGUGCGUAGGCGGUUUGUUAAGUCUGUUGUGAAAUCCCCGGGCUCAACCUGGGAAUGGCAAUGGAUACUGGCAAGCUAGAGUGUGAUAGAGGAUGGUGGAAUUCCCGGUGUAGCGGUGAAAUGCGUAGAGAUCGGGAGGAACAUCAGUGGCGAAGGCGGCCAUCUGGAUCAACACUGACGCUGAGGCACGAAAGCGUGGGGAGCAAACAGGAUUAGAUACCCUGGUAGUCCACGCCCUAAACGAUGCGAACUGGAUGUUGGUCUCAACUCGGAGAUCAGUGUCGAAGCUAACGCGUUAAGUUCGCCGCCUGGGGAGUACGGUCGCAAGACUGAAACUCAAAGGAAUUGACGGGGGCCCGCACAAGCGGUGGAGCAUGUGGUUCAAUUCGAUGCAAAGCGAAGAACCUUACCAGGGCUUGACAUGCCGUGAAUCCUCCCGAAAGAGAGGAGUGCCUUCGGGAACGCGGACACAGGUGGUGCAUGGCUGU